rnacentral:rRNA from 1 species
UGGGGAAUAUUGCACAAUGGGCGCAAGCCUGAUGCAGCCAUGCCGCGUGUAUGAAGAAGGCCUUCGGGUUGUAAAGUACUUUCAGCGGGGAGGAAGGGAGUAAAGUUAAUACCUUUGCUCAUUGACGUUACCCGCAGAAGAAGCACCGGCUAACUCCGUGCCAGCAGCCGCGGUAAUACGGAGGGUGCAAGCGUUAAUCGGAAUUACUGGGCGUAAAGCGCACGCAGGCGGUUGAUUGAGUCAGAUGUGAAAUCCCCGGGCUUAACCCGGGAAUUGCAUCUGAUACUGGUCAGCUAGAGUCUUGUAGAGGGGGGUAGAAUUCCAUGUGUAGCGGUGAAAUGCGUAGAGAUCUGGAGGAAUACCGGUGGCGAAGGCGGCCCCCUGGACGAAGACUGACGCUCAGGUGCGAAAGCGUGGGGAGCAAACAGG